rnacentral:rRNA from 1 species
CCUACGGGAGGCAGCAGUGAGGAAUAUUGGUCAAUGAGCGAGAGCCUGAACCAGCCAAGUCGCGUGAAGGAUGACGGCCCUACGGGUUGUAAACUUCUUUUGUCAGGGAGAAAUUGGGUCCACGCGUGGGCUUAGCGAGAGUACCUGAAGAAAAAGCAUCGGCUAACUCCGUGCCAGCAGCCGCGGUAAUACAGAGGAUGCGAGCGUUAUCCGGAUUUAUUGGGUUUAAAGGGUGCGUAGGCGGAAUAUCAAGUCAGCGGUAAAAAUUCGGGGCUCAACCCCGUCGUGCCGUGGAAACUGAUGUUCUUGAGUGGGCGAGAGGUAUGCGGAAUGCGUGGUGUAGCGGUGAAAUGCAUAGAUAUCACGCAGAACACCGAGUGCGAAGGCAGCAUACCGGCGCCCAACUGACGCUGAGGCACGAAAGCGUGGGGAUCGAACAGGAUUAGAUACCCCAGUAGUC